rnacentral:lncRNA from 1 species
UUUUUUUUUUUUGUCUCGACCAACAUUUUUACGUGAUCUACAAAAGGAGAAACAAAUACAUAAAUCUGUAUUCUUAACUUCAAAAUACUGUAUAAUCCGACUGCAAUAGGUAGUUUUCAAUCCAAAAUGAAGCAGUCUAUGUUUUGUUUGAGUAUGUUUAUCUUCAUUAUAUUCUUGGCUAACAGAGAAGUAAUGGCCCAAAGUAAUGAGGAUAUAAUCCAAGGAAAUCCUUCUAAGAAAUUUGGUAUAUUCGCAGCCUCUCUGGGGGGUGCGAUAAAUCAAGUUCCUCUGUCGGAAGUUUCGAUAAAUCCGCCUUCCGUCAUUAUUGAUAUACCAGGUCCUAAUAAAUUAUUCCGGCACAUCACAAUAUUUGAAACAAUUACAUUAUUGUGGGCAAUUAUGAUGACCUGACACCUGUUGACUACGAUAAAAGAUAUAGUGUCGGUAAUGGUAAACGUUGAAUGCCAUUUCUCAUUCCUAACCAAAGAAGAGGAAAACAACUCUCAGUUGCUUUAAUCUUAUGAUGGUUAAUAAAUAAUUGUUUGGCUGAAUAUGUGUUUGCUUAUUGCUUUAGUCGAUCGGCAUCAAUAGAAUAAACGAAAAAAAUUAGAAUUAUAAUUCACCUAAGACUUGAUGCAAUAAUGUGUUGCAGUAAUUAUGCGAUAGUACGCAGUGUUCUAUAUUUCUUAACGUGGGAUUAAUUAUUUGAUAAAUGAAAAUAUUCGAAGAAAGUUAAAUUUCUUCCGAAAACAUUACCAUAAAU